GGACCACCCGAAUAAGGUUAUGGCCAUACGGACAGCCGGGUCAAAUGCCGA
rnacentral:ncRNA from 12 species